AUCAUUUAAAAUCAUUCAUAUUACAACAUUACAAUAUAAUAGUUGAAUAAUUCAUCCCUACAAUUUUCUUGGCUUGUGCAACCACCUCCUACAAAAUAGAUCAUGAUUUCCGUUGCAAUUAAUAGUCGUUCCAAGGGUAGUAACGAGUCCUGUCAGAACAAAAAAAAACAACAACUUAUAAUCAAUUCUAAGUCAAAGUUGGACAUUUAUUAAGAGAGAGAGUAAAUGGACACACAUACUUGAUUCCCAGAAUAAUACAUUUAGAGAACAAUAAGUCAUUACCAGGUUAGACUCAAUGUAGUGCUGAAUGACAAAGUUUGAUGUAGCUACAACAUGUCACUAAGCAGUCACAUAACUAUCAACAAGUUUCUGAAUAAUUUUACAUAAUUUAUAAUAAUGACUUCCCAAAUAGAAUGCAAUAUACAGGAAACUACACGUUAAGGACUACUGGCGGCAAC
rnacentral:lncRNA from 1 species